AGCGAACGCUGGCGGCAGGCCUAACACAUGCAAGUCGAACGAACCUUUCGGGGUUAGUGGCGAACGGGUGAGUAACACGUGGGAACGUGCCUUUAGGUUCGGAAUAACUCAGGGAAACUUGUGCUAAUACCGAAUGUGCCCUUCGGGGGAAAGAUUAAUCGCCUUUAGAGCGGCCCGCGUCUGAUUAGCUAGUUGGUUGAGGUAAUGGCUCACCAAGGCGACGAUCAGUAGCUGGUCUGAGAGGAUGAUCAGCCACAUUGGGACUGAGACACGGCCCAAACUCCUACGGGAGGCAGCAGUGGGGAAUCUUGCGCAAUGGGCGAAAGCCUGACGCAGCCAUGCCGCGUGAAUGAUGCAGGUCUUAGGAUUGUAAAAUUCUUUCACCGGGGACGAUAAUGACGGUACCCGGAGAAGAAGCCCCGGCUAACUUCGUG
rnacentral:rRNA from 1 species